AUUGAACGCUGGCGGCAUGCCUUACACAUGCAAGUCGAACGGCAGCGCGGGGCAACCUGGCGGCGAGUGGCGAACGGGUGAGUAAUAUAUCGGAACAUACCCUAGAGUGGGGAUAACGUAGCGAAAGUUACGCUAAUACCGCAUACGCACUAAGGUGGAAAGUGGGGGAUCUUCGGACCUCAUGCUCAUGGAGUGGCCGAUAUCUGAUUAGCUAGUUGGUGAGGUAAAGGCUCACCAAGGCAACGAUCAGUAGCUGGUUUGAGAGAACGACCAGCCACACUGGAACUGAGACACGGUCCAGACUCCUACGGGAGGCAGCAGUGGGGAAUUUUGGACAAUGGGGGCAACCCUGAUCCAGCAAUGCCGCGUGAGUGAAGAAGGCC
rnacentral:rRNA from 1 species